CUUUCAAGCUGUCAAAAUCUAACAGCCAGAAGUAUUCUCUUUAUCAUUGCAUUUACCAAGCUGCAGUACGUGUGGAAUGUUCCUCUAUGAAGAGAUCGACAGGCGAACAAUCUAGACAUUAGACUAAUUUGCGGUCAGUUGCUCAAUAUAACUAAAAAAACAACGCGGAGGAAAUUAGUAUCGUUUGAAUAAUCACAUGCUCUUUUUUAUGAAGUACACCACGUCACAAAGUGUUUGCUCUCACUUGUGUGUGAAGCGCCAGAUUUUCAAAGAAUGCUGUGCGGAGUGGCAAGCAUGAAGGAGACCAGGUAUAAAAACACGCUGUGGCAGAACAGUACUGCGGAUAGCGACGGGAUGUACAAAACGUGGGAAGUAAGUGGGACACACGACCAAGAACGACACAACGGAUGGAAUCAAGUGAAGAUCAGGCAUUCUAUCUCCCUUGGAGAUGUUCGAAUGGAGGGUUUUCCGACCGCAAGAAGAGUCGAAGGGAUUGAAAACCCAGAUCGGUUCUACAACAGCGAGAGAAGAGAACUGUCGAGGAACAGCGCAACAAAUAGGGAAGUGAAAACGGAUACGCAGGCAGUGGUGCGACCCCAAUUUCAAAUUACUAACGAGCAGCCGACCCGACGUGUCACUCCCGCUUCUAAUGUAACGUUUCUAUCACAAUGGUCAAAGCCUCGCAAUGGAAGACGCGCCUCGGACGGUUUUCUUAGAUUCUCUGAGAAAACAAGCGCUCCAAUAUUUAGCGCUGUCUCGGAAGAACACUGCGCGGAUGACGACAGCACGAAGGCCAAUUCAGUUACCGCAAAUAAUUCCAUCAGCAGGGCCUCCUCUCUGAAUCGUCGCCGGUUUUCUGAUGGUUACUUUCACAGCGUCGCAGGGUAUUCAGGUUUCAAGAAGGUUAACAUUGUGUUGCCGAGGCCGCGAAAUAGUACGAAUGAAGAAUCUGGAGGGUGUGAUGUUGACAAAGGAUGUCAUAGCGAUGUAAAGGAUACAGAAAGUGCUGAUUGUAGCAGAAACGAAGACGACGACCAGUGGAAGAAAUUGGUUGCACAAGCGCAAGGUUUUAAAGGACCUAAAGUCAACGGAGUCAGCAAAGUAAGACCAGGAUUACAGGUGGAGGAUUUUAAAGGAAACGUUGAUCGCUCUAUGGAGGACGUGUUUAGCGACAUAAGCAGUGAGGCAUCUUUUUCAUCGAACAGUUCGUAUCACUCUUCGUCUGACAGCGAUAGUACCGUCGAUGGCACGUUGAUAGCUAAGCCGAUAUCCGGCGAUUUGGCUCCUUUCAAGGACGACAGCCACACAAGUUUGAACACCGCAAGGCCUAUCCGACGAUUUUCCUCGGUGCAAUCGUUGGAUUCGUACCCCGCAAGUGGAAACCAUCCCGCGCGUAGAUAUUCAGUCGCUACUUUAAAUCCAGCACGCUCGUUUAAUGAUUCUGCCGCUACAGCUAAACUGUCCGGUUACAGCACGCAGAGUGCACUGGAACAAGCUCGACAGCUCCUCAGCAGGCUGCAGCAAGAGGGAAAGUAUAAAAGUAAGAAAGAAAGGCUGGACGAAUUAAGUAGAGCGCUAAAGUGGAUCCUUGAGGAACUUAAGCGUAUAAAAACACCAGACAGGGACCUCGUCAGUUUAUUUAUCAGUUUACGAGCGAAAAUAGUGAACUUGAAAAGUGAACUGAAGGCGGAAGAAUUUGAUGCCACCUGCAUUGACCGCAAUGAAGUGGACAGCACCCCGCGAGUCCAACCACUUCUGCUAACUGAGGACAGGUUGACACACUCUCACUCGAGACGAUUCAGCUGGUGUUGAAAGGAAAAUAUUUUUUAUUGUCGACAUGCACGACAGCAAGAUGUGGUCGACCAGACUUUAUCACGUGGAAUACUUCUUUGAUGUCGGAAAAUUUUUCACACCUGUCGCCAAGAGUUAAGUCUGAAAAGAAAAGGAAACAAACAUAAACACAAAUAAACAAAAAUAAAGACAAAACGACAUGAAAAAACUUAUUGAAAGAGGAAGACGACGAGGUCUAAAGGUUGUUCGUUUUGAGAAGAAAGCGUUGUAGCCUUCAAGUAAAACAAAGAAGUAUUUUACAGAAAAAUAGCCCUGACGGGUCAGAUCGUCCUUUCCGUGAAUGUCAUCUUUGGGAACAGAGCAGUUUCUGGCAGACUGACUAUAUUGUUUCUGUAAGCCGGUGCGUGUUCUCACUUGCGCACGCACCAUUGUGGAAUAGGCAGACGUUCUGAGUAAGUGAAGUGUAAAUUCUGGUUUGACACUAAAAAAAAUACCAGGCAGCGGGGUUUUGCAAGAACAACUUCUCUUAGUUGUGCCAGAGCUCGUGGAGUCUGAAAACAAAUAAGUCGUUUAAGCAUGAAUAGGGGCAAAACACUCAAGAAAGAAAGGAUCCAGUUUUCAAAAGAACAAAGGCGUAUGUUAACAUACAAUUUCGUCUUCACUGAAACCCGAUUUGUCGCUCCUGAAUUGAGCAGAAGUUGGUCUUCUAUAAGUUUAGAAGUUAGAACUAGUUAACGAUGACGCAGAAUUCUCCACCUCAUCGUAAGAAAAAAGAACGAAGACGUAAACUAUUAACCAAAAAGUAAUGUAUCUAUUAUAUAACUAUAUACAAUCCAUACCAAAAUUGCUUGUGUCGUAUAUGAAAGCUGAUGAUUGAUGGAAUGAUUAAUAUAAAUUAUUUAGCCCAGUCUGAAAUAUUUGGCGCUCGUAAAACCAUUAUAUUCAGUGUCACCAAAAGACAGUAUGUUUCUUUGUUCUACUCUUUAGUUCCUAUAACUAGUAAAAUUUUGAUUAUUCUGCAUUACUGUGAAAAACUGAACUGAAUUAACGAAAUUAAUCAAUGACGUUUUAGUAGAAAUCAAACGAAUUCAAACUGAAAUAAAAUGUUGAGUUCACUGAAAA
rnacentral:misc_RNA from 1 species